CGGAGCUAACGCGUUAAGUCGACCGCCUGGGGAGUACGGCCGCAAGAUUAAAACUCAAAGGAAUUGACGGGGACCCGCACAAGCGGUGGAUGAUGUGGAUUAAUUCGAUGCAACGCGAAAAACCUUACCUACCCUUGACAUGUAUGGAAUCCUGCUGAGAGGUGGGAGUGCCUGAAAGGGAGCCAUAACACAGGUGCUGCAUGGCUGUCGUCAGCUCGUGUCGUGAGAUGUUGGGUUAAGUCCCGCAACGAGCGCAACCCUUGUCCCUAGUUGCUACGCAAGAGCACUCUAGGGAGACUGCCGGUGACAAACCGGAGGAAGGUGGGGAUGACGUCAAGUCCUCAUGGCCCUUAUGGGUAGGGCUUCACACGUCAUACAAUGGUCGGAACAGAGGGUCGCCAACCCGCGAGGGGGAGCCAAUCCCAGAAAACCGAUCGUAGUCCGGAUCGCACUCUGCAACUCGAGUGCGUGAAGCUGGAAUCGCUAGUAAUCGCGGAUCAGCAUGCCGCGGUGAAUAUGUACCCGGGCCCUGUACACACCGCCCGUCACACC
rnacentral:rRNA from 1 species